AUGGCGGCCACCAGCUUGGACGCCACCCGGAUCCAGCAGCUGCCGUUGGCGGACGGACUUCUCCAAGGGCCAGAGAGUGUCGCCUUCGACGCCCAAGGGCACGGCCCAUAUAGCGGCGUCUCUGACGGCCGCAUUCUCAGGUGGGACGGGGACAAGAUAGGCUGGACCACUUACGCAUAUGGCCCUGGCUAUGACGAAGAUAUGUGCACGGCUUCGAUAUUCCGCUCAGCAACUUCCACGGAGAGUCAGUGUGGCCGGCCGCUCGGUUUACAGUUUCACCACAAGUCUGGGGAUCUAUACGUGGCUGACGCCUACAGGGGACUCAUGCGGAUUGGUCCUGGUGGCGGGGAAGCCACGGUAUUGGUCAAUGCGAUUGAUGAUAAACCUCUCCGCUUCACCAACGGGGUUGACAUCGACCAGGUCACCGGUCAAAUCUACUUCACUGAUAGUUCUAUGAACUAUGACAGGACGCAUCAUGAACUAGUCACAAGAUCAGGGGAUUCAACAGGGCGUCUCAUGAGGUACGACCCACGUACCGGUGACGUCGCGGUCCUCCAAACACGCCUGGCGUAUGCAAACGGCGUCGCUAUCAGCACCGACCGUACGCAUCUAAUCGUCGCAUCUACCGGACCGUGCAAACUGCUGAGGCACUGGAUCAAAGGGAGCAAGGCGGGGACGUCUGAGCCAUUUGCCGAUCUCCCCGGCUACCCCGAUAACGUGAGGCCUGACAGAAGGGGAGGUUACUGGGUGGCGUUACAUGGGGAGAAGAAUGAAUUGCCCUCUCGCCCCAAUAGCCAUUUGCUCGCUGUGAGGAUCGGAGCUGAUGGCAAGAUACUUGAAGAGAUGAGGGGGCCCAAGCGCGUCAAACCCGCUGAGGUGAUGGAAAGAGACAACGGAAAAUUGUACAUAGGCUCUAUUGACUUGCCGUAUGUCGGCAUAGUUACACGCAAGCAGGGAGGCUAA
rnacentral:rRNA from 1 species